UGACCACGGACCCUUCUGUAUC
rnacentral:miRNA from 1 species